ACUCGGUUCAUAACUGCGUGGUUAUGCUGAUGAGUCCAAAAGGACGAAACCGCAA
rnacentral:hammerhead_ribozyme from 24 species